rnacentral:rRNA from 1 species
CAGCCGCCGCGGGAAUACGGAGGGUGCAAGCGUUAAUCGGAAUUACUGGGCGUAAAGCGCACGCAGGCGGUCUGUCAAGUCAGAUGUGAAAUCCCCGGGCUUAACCUGGGAACUGCAUUUGAAACUGGCAGGCUAGAGUCUUGUAGAGGGGGGUAGAAUUCCAGGUGUAGCGGUGAAAUGCGUAGAGAUCUGGAGGAAUACCGGUGGCGAAGGCGGCCCCCUGGACAAAGACUGACGCUCAGGUGCGAAAGCGUGGGGAGCAAACAGGAUUAGAUACCCCGGUAGUCCCUGUCUCUUAUAC